GAAAAUAAAAAAGAACAAUGCAAUUGUUUCAUGGAUAGAUUCUGUAGGUAAGAUUAAAAUGAUUUAUUAUCAGAUUUAGGGAUACCAAUAUCACUACAACAAUCUGUGAAGUUAAGGUCACUGCAUGGAUGUACAGGCUGGCCUGGCUCUAUACUUCGUUGUUGAGGCUUUGCAGUUUCACUUUUUUUACAUUGUAUAGGUAAAGGGAAAUAGAUUGUUAGUGCAAUUUUAGAUAAAAGCAAAUAGAUUAUUUAUGCAUUGUAUAGGUCAAGUCAAAAAGAUUAUUUAUGCAUUGUAUAGGUAAAGGCAAAUAGAUUAUUUGUGCAUUGUAUAGGUAAUGGCAAAUAGAUUAUUUAUGCUUUGCAUAGGUAAAGGCAAAUAGAUUAUUUGUGUACUAACGUCAGGGUAUUCUUUGAUAGAUAUGUAGUAUUAGGGCUUUUUUGAUAUAAAUAUAUAUUUAAAGUAUAAAAGAACAGUAAUUACAGGGUUUCAACUGGGAACUUUUUUCAACAAGUUCUUUUUUUAUAUAGAAUGUGUAGAAACAUUCCGAUAAGAAUGCUCAUAGUCUCCCUUAUGUUUUUUAUGUUUAUUUUUUCUGUCAGAUGCUCAGAAAAAAAUAUUUAAAAAUAUGUAUCACUAAUUCUAAGCAUAACAGAUGUUCUAAAUAUAUUUCAUCACUUAAAAAUGAGAUAUACUGGAUUUCUAUACGACUCACUGCAGUGCAGGGAAUUUACUUUAUUAUUUUUUACUUUAAAUUGAUUAAAAAUACCUUUGAAAUACUUUUUUUUUGCAUUAAGACUUUUUUGUCAUGUCAGUUUGUAUUAUAAACCAUUUUAAAAGAUUUUACUUUCAAGUGAUAAAAAUAAUAGUUUAAGUAUUCUAUAACAUUAAUAUUAAAUUUGUUUUCAAACCUAAUCUGUCUCGGCUGUAUGAUUUUGUUAAGAUUAUAUGAUUGUAUCUCUUGUAUGUGUUCUAAUAUUUGUAAAGCUUGGCACCAGUCAUUAGUAACAUCCCCCUACCACCGCAUUCAACUCAUACCCAAUACAAUGUUUGGGACUUUGAAUUUGGGACUAGCAAAGCCUAGGUAAAAUGAGAGGAAUCCUAUUAAAAUAUUAGUUGAUUUCUAGGUACAGAGGGUAAGGCUAUAUUUCCCACUAUUUUUUGCAAGAAAAAAACAACAUUCACCAUGUAAAGUUGGCUAAGUGGGUAGGUGAAAAUUCCACUUAUUUACUCUCUUCCCAACUACCUCUCUUUUUUUUUUCUUUUUUUUAAUGCGUUUAUUUAAGGUCACCGCCGGAAAGCCCAUAUGGGCGACGGUACACUCAAGUCAGGCCAUCCUAGAGCGUCCCGCCGAGAUUUUUUCGUCGAUUUUUUUUUAAUCAGCUUUUGUUGGUGGAGGAAGACCCCAGGUGCCCCUCCGGGCAUUAUUUCAGGCAUGAGCGGGCACCCGGGUAGAACCACCGACCUUCCAUAAGCCAGCUGGAUGGCUUCCUCACAUGAAAGAUUUCGACCCAAGUGAGGAUCGAACCUACAGCAGUGAGGGACCAGUGAUCUCAAGUCAUCGACCUUAACCACUCGGCCACGGAGGCCCCGAAACUACCUCUCUCCUACUCCCUUCACUUUUUAUAGUACACUUCCACAUGAUGGGAUAUAAUGAGGGCGGAGUAACAAAAAUAUAUGGUAGUGGGUGGAGCUACAAAUGACUGAUGCUUUGAGUAAAGCUACUUGUUUUCAAUUGAGUGUGAAAAUAUUCAACAAGUUGCUCAUUUUAAAACAACAGAAAUUUUGAUUUAAUUUGAUUCAUUAUCUUUAUAGUGACUAUAUGUUAUAUAUACAAAUAUAUUAUCUAAAAUAGCUAAUUUAUAAAAUCAAUCUUGUAUUUCUAUAUGAUUUUAAUAGUAUAUGAGAUUUUGUGUCUUGUUAUCAGACACUCUUUUUUCAAAUAUCUUUUUUUUUACAGUUAUGGACUUCCAUAGUUCCUCAUAUAGAACAGUUUUUGAUCGUGAAAAGUAAAUCCUCAAAUGUUAGCCAAUUGCUCUAUAAACAUUUUCUGAGUCUGUUCAUGUACUAGUAUUUUCUAAGGCACAUACUAAAUCAGCAAAAAAAUGGCAUUUACUAGACAUUUUAUUUUACAAUGUAUUGUAUUGUAUUGAGUAUUGGAAGAUGGACAGUAAUUGAUUAUGUAACAGUCAAUUGAUAAUGAUUUUUAAAAAAUUAUUCAUGAAUGUUGGAAAAUAUUUCAAAAUUUUCUCAAACAAUUCUGUUUGAUAAUUUGAACCAGGAUAUGGUAAUAUUUCAGAGAGCAAUGAAAACUUAGCACUCAACAAAAAUUGCAGUUUGUAUAUAUAAAUGAUAGGACCAUUUUUUCCUUAAGCACCUGUUAAUAAGUUUUGCAGCCUCGAUUUUUAUAGUACUGUACAUACUUGCUUAGAAGAUGCAGCCCCAAUUUUAAAUUAUUUGGCUGAAAGGCCAAACAUCGGCUUUGACUUGUAAUACGCAACAAGUUGUACCCCUAUGUACAGUAACUUACCUGUAGAGUAAUAUUGUGUUUGCAUUGGCACAAGGUGACAAAUAUCAACUGAUGAGCAACAUUAUAAUAUAUCAAAAACUAAUGUCAGAAGUUUGAUGAUGUUGAAUCAUCAGAAUGGAAAUUAUUGGAAUAAUUUCAAUUUCCUUCAAUAAAUUCCUUGAUUGUUGAUUUUUCAUGAAAAUCAAUCUGGUGCUAUAGCAAUGUCAUAUUUUAUAUACAUACAUAUAUACAUUUACUCUAGACUACCUACAGUAUUUAUUAUCAAUACUAUUAUAUUUUCCUUUUCAUGAGUGAAAUUGUUUGAAGUCAUCUUUUGCUUUUAUUUUUGUACGCUAAAUUGUUUCGUUUUUUUUUUUUCAUAUUCAGUGUAGAGAGCUUUAAAGCAGCACUUUUUCAGAUUGUUUUAAAGAUUUCUAAAAAAAAAAGUUGUCAAAUAAAGUUUAUUUAUGUAGUACUUACGAAAUGGGGCGUCCAUGGUCGAGUGGUUAUGGUCAUUGACUUCAAAUUAUUUGCCCCUCACAGGGACUUUGGAUUCUUUCACGUGAGGAAGCUAUCCAACUAGCUUACGAAACAUCAAUGGUUCUAUUCAGGUGCCGCUUCGUGCCUGAAAUAAUGCAUGGGUGGGCACCUAAGGUCUUCCUCCACAAGUAAAGCUGGAACGUCGCCAUAUGACCUAUACUGCGUUGGUGAGGUGUAAAACCCAAUCAAACAAAUAUACUUCAUGUCCUCAUAAAUUUAAAUUACCUAUAACGUUUCAAAAUCAGUUGAUGGAGCCUCUACUGGUUAAAAAUAUGAUGAAAAAAAUAGUUGGUCACUUUACUUGUGCAUAAAGUAUGUUAAUACAUUUCUUUUAAUAUUGAUUUGUUUUAAAUUUCUUCAAUUUAUCAUGCAGCUUUGAGAUUCUGUUAGGUUUCAUUUGCAUUGAUUGUAGAAAUUACUUUGAUAUAUUUUAGACAUUUUGCUAGUUGAUUUAGUUAAAUGGCUAAAAAAUAACUUUCUUAUUGUAUAAAAUGUUUCUUAGGUUUUGUUUACUCUAGAAUUUCCGACAGCUUUCAAUCAUAUAUGCAUAUAGUAACUUUAUUUAUCUUUCUUCUCUUUGUAAUUUCCAGUAAUUUCACAUUAUACACAUAUAAUUCACAGUUCAGAUGUGCCAAGUAGUUAUAUGUAUGAAUUGAUUUGUAUAUUUGUACAUGUAUAUUUCCUAAUGUUUGAUUUUUUUUGUCUGAUAAAUAGAAAGUUCUCAUAUAAGAUAAAUUGUGCAGUUUUGAUCAAGGAAGGUGUGGCCUGAUAAAUUGUGCAGUUUUGAUCAAUGAAGGUGUGGCCUGAUAAAUUGUGCAGUUUUGAUCAAGGAAGGCGUGGCCUGAUAAAUUAUGCAGUUUUGAUCAAAGAAGACAUGGCCUGAUCAAUUAAUUUUGAUUUAGGAAGGCGUGGCCUGACUGAUAUUCACACCCAUGUUUCUCAGUAGUUAUUGAGUCUAGAUUGAAACAAUUAUUCACAAUUAUAGGGAAUUUUUCUUUUUGAUUAUAUGUAUUAUGAAACAUAAUAAAUUUACUAGAUUGUUUGAAUACUAGAUUAUUUGAAUUUUGCCAUAUCUGUAUUUUGAUAUUUUUUGACAUUUGUUUUCUUUAAGGUUAAAAAAUAAUAUUGUUGGAAAAUUGUAUAAUUAGUCUUACGCAAUUAGCAAAGAAUUACGUUCAUUUUACUGAUAAUUAACAAAAUGAUGGAAAGAUAUUCUGUGCAGAGUAAUAGUAUGUGAUUUUGGUUUGUUAGUGCAAUUUUAUAUGGUCAGUGUUUGAUUUUAUGUAUUUCUUAUUAUAUUUCUUUCUUUCUGUGCUAGAUCUGAAACCUUUUGUUUAUAUGACAGCACUAGUUAAAUUAAGGGUGUAAAAUAUUUUACUUAAAGGCCAAUUUUUAACCCCUUACCUGCUUGAGCAGAAAGUGUUGCGCUUUUGGCAUCAGUAUCAAAUUUCUUGGGAAAAAAAGGAAUAGAAAUGCUUAGCAUUAAUUUGAAUACCAGGCAUAUAAUCAUGUUUUUUUAUCAACACUCAAUGUGGCGUAUAUUUGAUUUGUUUCAUUGAUUAGAAAAACUGUUACAAACUAAUACUUUCUUGUUUUACGUUGUGUGCAAAUAAUUAUGGACAAAGUUACACAAUUUUUGUGCCAUUUCUCAAAAUUUUCUCUAUAGUUUGAGCAGGUGUUUACAGCAUUUGGCUCCAUAUUUCACGUUUUGAUUUUCGAACUUUUUGAGAUAUGUAUUCUAAAUGCUUUGUCCUGUUUAGAAUCACUUAAAGGGUACAGAACAAAUCUUGUAUGUAUUGUGGCAAAAAUCACAUCUCAAUUAAAAGAACUGUAAAAUUUUGUGAAAAUUAGA